rnacentral:rRNA from 1 species
AGAGUUUGAUCCUGGCUCAGGAUGAACGCUGGCGGCGUGCUUAACACAUGCAAGUCGAACGAGAACCAAUGGAAUGAGGAUUCGUCCAAAGGAAGUUGGGGAAAGUGGCGGACGGGUGAGUAACGCGUGAGCAAUCUGCCUUGGAGUGGGGAAUAACGGUUGGAAACAGCCGCUAAUACCGCAUGAUACAGCUAUCCCGCAUGGGGUUGGCUGUCAAAGAUUUAUCGCUCUGAGAUGAGCUCGCGUCUGAUUAGCUUGUUGGCGGGGUAACGGCCCACCAAGGCGACGAUCAGUAGCCGGACUGAGAGGUUGGCCGGCCACAUUGGGACUGAGACACGGCCCAGACUCCUACGGGAGGCAGCAGUGAGGAAUAUUGGUCAAUGGGCGGAAGCCUGAACCAGCCAAGUCGCGUGAGGGAAUAAGGCCCUACGGGUCGUAAACCUCUUUUGCCGGGGAGCAAGGGCGGGGACGUGUCCCGGCCCGGAGAGUACCCGGAGAAAAAGCAUCGGCUAACUCCGUGCCAGCAGCCGCGGUAAUACGGAGGAUGCGAGCGUUAUCCGGAUUUAUUGGGUUUAAAGGGUGCGUAGGCGGGCUUUUAAGUCAGCGGUAAAAAUUCGGGGCUCAACCCCGUCCGGCCGUUGAAACUGGGGGCCUUGAGUGGGCGAGAAGAAGGCGGAAUGCGUGGUGUAGCGGUGAAAUGCAUUGAUAUCACGCAGAACCCCGAUUGCGAAGGCAGCCUUCCGGCGCCCUACUGACGCUGAGGCACGAAAGUGCGGGGAUCGAACAGGAUUAGAUACCCUGGUAGUCCGCACAGUAAACGAUGGAUGCCAGCUGUCCGGGCCGAAUGGGGCCUGGGUGGCAAAGCGAAAGCGUUAAGCAUCCCACCUGGGGAGUACGCCGGCAACGGUGAAACUCAAAGGAAUUGACGGGGGCCCGCACAAGCGGAGGAACAUGUGGUUUAAUUCGAAGCAACGCGAAGAACCUUACCCGGCCUUGACAUCCUCCUGGAUGUCCGGUAAUGCGGACAGACCUUCGGGGCAGGAGAGACAGGUGGUGCAUGGUUGUCGUCAGCUCGUGUCGUGAGAUGUUGGGUUAAGUCCCGCAACGAGCGCAACCCUUAUCCCCAGUAGCCAGCAGGAGAGCUGGGCACUCUGGGGAGACAGCCGGGGAUAACCCGGAGGAAGGUGGGGAUGACGUCAAAUCAUCAUGCCCCUUAUGGCUUGGGCUACACACGUGCUACAAUGGCGUUAACAGAUGGGAUGCGAUGCGGCGACGCGGAGCGAACCCCAGAAACAGCGCCCCAGUUCGGAUUGCAGCCUGCAACUCGGCUGCAUGAAGCCGGAAUCGCUAGUAAUCGCGGAUCAGAAUACCGCGAUGAAUACGUUCCCGGGUCUUGCACUCACCGCCCGUCAAG